UACGUAGGGUGCAAGCGUUAAUCGGAAUUACUGGGCGUAAAGCGUGCGCCGGCGGUUGUGCAAGACCGAUGUGAAAUCCCCGGGCUUAACCUGGGAAUGGCAUUGGUGACUGCACGGCUAGAGUGUGUCAGAGGGGGGUAGAAUUCCACGUGUAGCAGUGAAAUGCGUAGAGAUGUGGAGGAAUACCGAUGGCGAAGGCAGCCCCCUGGGAUAACACUGACGCUCAUGCACGAAAGCGUGGGGAGCAAACAGG
rnacentral:rRNA from 1 species